UUCAACCAGGUUGUGUUGAAGAGGUUGUU
rnacentral:piRNA from 1 species